rnacentral:rRNA from 1 species
UACGGAGGAUGCAAGCGUUAUCCGGAUUUAUUGGGUUUAAAGGGUGCGCAGGUUGUUUGAUAAGUCAGUGGUGAAAGUCUGUCGCUUAACGGUAGGAUUGCCAUUGAUACUGUUGGACUUGAAUAUGGGUGAGGUAGGCGGAAUGUGUAAUGUAGCGGUGAAAUGCUUAGAUAUUACACAGAACACCAAUUGCGUAGGCAGCUUACUGAGCCGACACUGACGCUGAGGCACGAAAGCGUGGGGAUCGAACAGGAUUAGA